GGUUUCGAUUUCAUAUUGCUAAUUGCAAGGGAAGCAUCCGCAUUUCAAAGAAGUGAGAGACUGCUGAGCCAGACGCUUUACCUGAACUCAGAGUCAAGGAUUUCCAUUUUGAAUCUGAACAUGGUAAUUUCCUCUUCCUGUGAUAAGCCUGAAACAUUGAAUGAACUGUCCCAACUGAGAGACUGUGAAUUUGGUCAGCCUCACCCCAGGCAUGGGCUGAGGCUCCUUCAUUGGCUUGCCCAUGAGCACUUCCGUUCGGCAACCCUCCAGUGUGAACCCAGUAGUGGUGACUAUGGGUUUCAUUACUUUCAGAACCGAGAGAACGAUCUGCCUUCUGUGAGAGAUGGGUACAACUACUACACAGUAGGCAAUCUGAAUAAGCGAAAGGCGCAGGAUUUGCCUAGCUACGUUUUGGAAAACAACAGUGGGAACCAGGAUGACAGCAACAGUGACCGCAUUAUCCUCAGCGUGGGCCCUGGGAAUGUUAUCGACAAGAUAUAUGCCACUGAGCACCAGGGAAAAGGGCGUUUUAACAACAAGCGCACAUAUUGCAUCAGUAAAGGCCUGAUGAUGAUAAUCAAUAAGCUGGAGCUGGCAACGUUUUUAAGUCGGAUGGAGAACAACCCACUCAACCUUCAAGCCCCAAAAAUGAAGGCUGCUUCUGCCUCCAUGCCCGAUACAGUGAUCAACAUCGAGUCCUCUUCCCCUUCCCGUGGAUUCUGGGACUAUUGUAUCAUACUUUGAGCUGUUUCAUGUGCCUUUCAGGCUGAUUUCUGAUUUCAAAGAUUGUGGAAAAAGUAGGAGACAAGGAACAAGAAUCAUGAUGUUAAUGCAAUUUAUCAAUCUUAGUUUUACAAAACGGGUAUUUGACAGAGGUGUUGGCUCAUAACUUAGUGGUACCUUGUGGAGUGGUUUAUUUUAUUAUUAUUUUUUUUUUCCAGAUUUUUCCCUUUUUCUCCCAAUUUGGUAGCCAAUUGUACCUCGUCUGAUUCAAUUGGAGGUAGUCGUAUUAGAUGUACCGCCCGUACCCCGUCCCUCGGUGGCCCGAAUGAGAGCGGCACGCCUUCUUCAAGCUGUCUCGUCUCGUGCCCGUUGCCGUGAUUCCGAGGCGCCCGAGGUGCUUAUUGUGCGGCGAUCUAAUAACCCUGCCAAGUCCCUCCCUCUGGAGCAGCGAGCCAAUUAUUGCUGCCCCACGUGAGCCGGCCAAACUUGGCUUUUGGCAGGACCGAGGUUUAUUUUUUUUUAAACCAAACAUUUACUGAGGGGCUAACUUACUGUUUGGCCAUAGACACUAAAAUUAUUAGACUGUGUAAACAAACUCAACUGAGCCAACACUGCUCACAUGGAGGGUUGCUACACUGCUCAUGUUAGCAUGACUUAUUCAUGGCUUCAUAUUCAUAUUUUUAUACAGAUGUAGGCUUUUAUACAGACACUAUUAAUUUUAGGGAUGUCACACAUCCUUGCUAAAUGGCUCAGCCAGAGUCUCCCAUGGAGAGGCAAGAUCAGGCUACUUCCCAACUCUUUGUUAUGUAUGACUGGACUGUACUUAACCACUCCACACACUGAAAUCUUUUGAGAUCAUUAUAACAACCAACUGCCCGAAUGCUCUGUUUCUCUCUCACACAUUUUUGGCAUAAAAUCUCAAUAACUAUUCACAUUCACUCUUAUUCCCAUUCUGCACAGCUCAGACUUUUUUCCAGACUGUCAAGACCAGGGCCUUAAAAAGUAGCACAGACAGGGGAUAACAAAGCUAGGAGACCUAUUUGAUGGGCAGAUUUUAUUAUCCUUUCUGCAGAUACAGCAGCGCAGAGUUUUUUAGAUAUCUAUAAAUUAGAUAUUUCAUUACUACAGACAAUACAUUAAUGACCAAUAAUACCAUUUCAUAUGUGGAAAGAGCCUUGUCCUUACAGGUAACUAAGAAGCGCAUUAGUGUACUCUACAGGGCCCUACAACUACUACAUAGUAGGCAAUCUGAAUAAGCCAAAGGUGCAGCAUUUGCCUUUCUAUGUUUGGGAAAACAACAGUGGGAACCAGGAUGACAGCAACCGUGACCGCAUUAUCCUCAGCGUGGGCCCUGGGAAUGUUAUCGACAAGAUAUAUGCCACUGAGCACCAGGGAAAAGGGCGUUUUAACAACAAGCACACAUAUUGCAUCAGUAAAGACCUGAUGAUGAUAAUCAAGGAGCUGGAGCGGCCAACGUUUUUAAGUCAGAUGGAGAACAACCCACUCAACCUACAAGCCCCAAAAGUGAGGGCUGCUUCUGCCUCCAUGCCCGAUACAAUGAUCAACAUCGAGUCCUCUUCACCUUCCCCUGGAUUCUGGGACUAUUGUAUCAUACUUUGAGCUGUUUCAUGUGCCUUUCAGGCCGAUUUCUGAUUUCAAAGAUUGUGAAAACGUAGGAGACAAGGAACAAGAAUCAUGAUGUUAAUGCAAUUUAUCAAUCUUAGUUUUACAAAACGGGUAUUUGACAGAGGUGUUGGCUCAUAACUUAGUGGUACCUUGUGGAGUGGUUUAUUUUUUUUUACCAAACAUUUACUGAGGGGCUAACUUACUGUUUGGCCAUAGACGCUAAAAUUAUUAGACUGUGUAAACAAACUCAACUGAGCCAACACUGCUCACAUGGAGGGUUGCUACACUGCUCAUGUUAGCAUGACUUAUUCAUGGCUUCAUAUUCAUAUUUUUAUACAGAUGUAGGCUUUUAUACAGACACUAUUAAUUUUAGGGAUGCCACACAUCCUUGCUAAAUGGCUCAGCCAGAGUCUCCCAUGGAGAGGCAAGCUCAGGCCACUUCCCAACUCUUUGUUAUGUAUGACUGGACUGUACUUAACCUCUUAACCAUACUUAACUUAAUGCUCUGUUUCUCUCUCGCACGCAUUAUAUUAAACCUGAAAUCUCUUGAGAGAA